ACGAAGGGGGCUAGCGUUGCUCGGAAUUACUGGGCGUAAAGGGCGCGUAGGCGGACAGUUUAGUCAGAGGUGAAAGCCCAGGGCUCAACCCUGGAAUUGCCUUCGAUACUGCUUGGCUAGAGACCGGAAGAGGUAAGUGGAACUGCGAGUGUAGAGGUGAAAUUCGUAGAUAUUCGCAAGAACACCAGUGGCGAAGGCGGCUUACUGGUCCGGUUCUGACGCUGAGGCGCGAAAGCGUGGGGAGCAAACAGGA
rnacentral:rRNA from 1 species